UACGAGGGGGGCAAGCGUUGUUCGGCAUUAUUGGGCGUAAAGGGCGCGUAGGCGGCGCCACAAGUCACUUGUGAAAACUCUGGGCUCAACUCAGAGCCUGCAAGCGAAACUGUGGUGCUGGAGUAUGGGAGAGGUGCGUGGAAUUCCCGGUGGAGCGGUGAAAUGCGUAGAUAUCAGGAGGAACACCGGUGGUGUAGACAGCUUACUGGACCAUUUCUGACGCUGAGACACGAAAGCGUGGGUAGCAAACAGG
rnacentral:rRNA from 1 species